UUUCAACUAUCUAAAAAGCUUCAAAGGCAUAUUGCCGUCAAUGAUUCUCUUCUAGAUAAUACUAAUUACUUACAAGUCAACGUAAUAAACCAAAAUAAUGA